GCCGCUGGAGGAACACUUCUCCCGGGCCCCGCAGUCACCCAGCCGCAGACGUGAGCGGCUGCGCCCAACAGCCCGCUAACGGAGGGAACAAAGGCGGGAGCGGCGUCCCCGGGAGACCGAGGGGCGCGGCGGUGUCCGCGCUCCAGAGCCGCGCUUCGCAAACUUCCGCCGACGUGACGGUCUCCCGCGGGCCUGCGGAGCGCCGGGGGCGCGCCGCCGAGACUCGGAUGCCGGUAUGACUUGAGCUCAAUGAAAUACUGUGUGCAUGCAAUGUGAAGUGGAAAGUGAGGCCCAGCUUUGCAGUGGUCCUACAGUGUCUGUCCGCUCCUUCUUACUACGAGAACGCCGGUUAGAUGGCUGCCCACAACACAGAUGGCUGGAACAUAGGCAUGGUGGCUGAACCAUCAGCAGCCUCCUUGGACCAUGAGGUAGACACCAUGUGUGGGUCCUGGUGGAACGAGGACCCUUUCUCCCAUGAUUGCUUCUUGAAUCCCCCGGGACUCCGAGGGCCAUCACAGGUUUUGCUGACUCUACGUUCCUGCUACCAUUGAUUGAUUCUUUCCUCACGUGACAAGUGUUUUACAUUUAUUAUUUAAUACAUCAACCCCACAGGAAGGCAGUAUCAUUCCCAUUUUCAAAUUAAGGCCCAGAGAAGUUGAUUAACUUUCUCUCAGUAACGCAGCUAAUAGAUGGGCUCUGAACUUCGUUGGUAAAGGCUGCCAUCAUAGUCUGGUCGUAUGGCAGAAGCAGCCCUUUCAGCCUCAAUUACCGAAACGUGUGAAGUUCUGCUGAGGAAUACUUUUAUCCUUCCAUUCGGAAGGGUCACGGGACACUGGGGACUUGGGACUAUUCUGAAAGAGAGCCUUCUCUGAAACCACGAUGACAACAAAAAGGUCGGACAGGCACGGUCACUCCAGGCCAUACUUCUAGUACGUUCACCAGCGGUUCCCACGGCCUGUGUGAUAAGCUGGCAGCACAGGGAUGUCCGUGCGGGAGGGGCAGGGGGUUCCCACAGCGCAGGAGGCCGACAGGGACUACUGUCGGGCUGGCUGCCUGUUUCUAAUGAACUAUGUCUUGUGACUCUGCUGACGCAAUAGCCGAUAGCAAUAUUUAAAAAUUACCUCGUAGAAAUUUCUUGCUCACCUUAGUAUCAUGCAUAUAUUUACUGGCAAAGAAAAAAAUUCCCUAGAAAUGCUUAUUUAACCUUGCCAGUUCUGAUGAAGAUACAUUAUAGUGAAUCAUGGGAAAUUCUUUUAUGAUCUCAUGUUCUACAUAAAAAUAGCUCCGCCUCAGUACUGAUCCAGUUCCUAUGGGCCAGAUCCCAAUUCUUUCUGCUUUCAAAAAAGU